CCAGGUCAGACAUAGUCUAGUCAGACUCUGCUUAAUGAUGGUGUGAGAAUGGGAGCAGAUCUGAGAGAUAUUUUACAGAGGACAAGCAGCCACUGGUCAAAGAAUUUACAGGCAGCAUCUAAGAGCAGACAAUGGCAGAGAGAAGUACCAACCAACCACAGCUUCUAAAUGACUGAUGCCAUCAAAGAUCUAUUGCCAGAAUCCUGUACGAACGAAACUUUUCACUAGACAAGUGGUAUGGGUGAUUUCUCUGUGUGGCAGUUGUACCAACGGUUACAGUACCAUGGAGAGCUUAUGGGAUAGCUCAGUGGUCAUAUGCUACGCCUGACCUUGACCUGGGUUCACUCCCUGUAUCCUACUUAAUGCAAGAAGAAAACUAACUCUUGCAAAUUGUUCUCUCACCUUCACUGGUGGGUCAAGGUGCAGAAGAACACAUGGGGGUGUUCUUUGCCCCCCAACACACACUAUGUGCAUAAAUAAAAUCCAAUAAAAGCUUUUAAAAAGA
rnacentral:sRNA from 1 species